AAAAACAUUUUUUAUAAAUAUUUAUAAGUAAAAUUUGCUCCAUGACUUAAAUAGCCGCAAAUCAAAUGUGCUAAGGUAGCAUAAUCAUUAGUCCCUUAAUUAGAGGCCAGAAUGAACGAUUUAACAUUUUAAUUAAUUUUUUUAUUUAACAAAUUAAAUUUAAACUAAGAAUAAAAAUGUUCUUAUAAAAAAAAAAGACGAUAAGACCCUAUUGAACUUUACUGAAGUUUAGCUGGGGAAGCUAAUUAAUAAAUAUUUUAAUUUUCAUAAAAAAAAAAUUCUAAUUUAAUUAAUUUUAAUAAGUUACCAUAGGGAUAACAGCGUAAUUAAUUUUUAAAGCUCUUAUUAAAAAAAUAGAUUACGACCUCGAUGUUGAAUU
rnacentral:rRNA from 1 species